CACGUAUUGGAAAAUGUGGGCUACUGAAAGUAUGCUGUAUGGCUUCUCCUGGUAUGGGGUGGAAUGGCAUGGUCCCUCCUUCAAAUAUGGGAUACAACGUUGGAAAUGUUGUCGGUGGUAUUGCUGGUGUGAUAGCUGCAACUACAAUGAUGAACAGGGGCAAUGCUAUGUACCUAAAGAGAGCAACUGCAGGUGAUGCCACCACUUCAACUUAGAACCCAGUUAUUCGUCAACUGCACCGGCUCUGGAAACUGUCUGGCUAGGACUUGCUCCCUGAGUGAUCCAGGACUUCAUUUGACAUCGCUGGUUGGUCCUUGUGGGGCAGGAUACUUUAAUAAACUACCACUGGACUAUUUUGAAGAAUGUGUCCGUUUAAUUGAUCUGCGCAUGAGAGGGGC
rnacentral:lncRNA from 11 species